GGGGGCGAACUAGAGUCGACGGGGAUGGACGGGGUGCCGGAUAGCGAGCCGAGCUCUGUGUCUCGUUAAACCGCAGGAAACCAAUAACUGCCAACGAAUCUAACGAUUCUUUCGAAUACGCUUUAGCUGCUUAAUCCCAGCUAACGUGGCCUAGUUCGGUGCCUGUCCUGACCUAGAUCACGUAAAUGAGACAGGAUACCGCUUCAAAUGCCCGGUUGGAGACGGGAAAUUUAGGGCUGGUCCAGGGUUGUCGCGCUUCGGACGGCAAGUGUGGACGAGAUAAAAUCCGAGGCUACGCUCGUAGAAUUCUGGUAUGACGUGUCUUCGGACGGGACGGGCAGCACGUCCCCGCCUCCACCA
rnacentral:tmRNA from 1 species